rnacentral:misc_RNA from 1 species
GAUGAAGAACGUAGCGAAAUGCGAUAAGUAGUGUGAAUUGCAGAAUUCAGUGAAUCAUCGAAUCUUUGAACGCACAUUGCGCCCCCUGGUAUUCCGGGGGGCAUGCCUGUCCGAGCGUCAUUGCUGCCCUCAAGCACGGCUUGUGUGUUGGGCCUCCGUCCUCCUCCCGGGGGACGGGCCCGAAAGGCAGCGGCGGCACCGCGUCCGGUCCUCGAGCGUAUGGGGCUUCGUCACCCGCUCUUGUAGGCCCGGCCGGCGCUUGCCGACACAUCAAUCUUUUUUCCAGGUUGACCUCGGAUCAGGUAGGGAUACCCGCUGAACUUAAGCAUAUCAAUAAACGGAGGA